rnacentral:lncRNA from 10 species
AAGGAGGAUCAUCUGCUGUGGGUGUUCCUGAUCUUUGAGCCAUGAUAAUGUUACUGGUUGGAUGUCAGGAGCAGGCCAUGUGGAUGAUUAAAAGAUGAAUAUCAUAUACAGCAUGGAUAUGUUGGACAAAAAGAUGAUUCACAUCCCAGACAGAAUGGAGCAGCACAUUUAUUAAAAGCCAGAAGCUAGAAGACGAGGAAAGAAGAGGUGGUUAAAGAAAGAUACAGUAACAGCAGUAAUAUCUAACAGGAAGGCUACAGGGGAAAAUACAGAAAUUCCAUAAAGAACAAACACUGUAACUCAAAACCAAAGCUUUGCUAGUCACUAGUGCCCGCUACAUCCUAACAGAGUUGUUAUGUAAAACCUCCCAGCGAAA